rnacentral:rRNA from 1 species
GACGAACGCUGGCGGCGUGCUUAACACAUGCAAGUCGAACGGUGAAGCGCCUUCCUUUUUGGUGGGUGUGGAUGAGUGGCGAACGGGUGAGUAACACGUGAGUAACCUGCGCCCUUCUACUGGAUAACCGCAUGAAAGUGUGGCUAAUACGGGAUAUUCUGGGUCUGUCGCAUGAUGGGUCUGGGAAAGAUAUUGUUUCGGUGGGGGAUGGGCUCGCGGCCUAUCAGCUUGUUGGUGGGGUGAUGGCCUACCACGGCGGUGAGGGGUAGCCGGGCUGGGAGGGUGGACGGUAACAGUGGGGCUGAAACACGGAGCAGACUCCUGCAGGAGGCAGCAGUGAAGAAUAUAGCACAGUGGGAGGAAGCCUGAUGCAGCGACGCCGCGUGAGGGAUGGAGGCCUUCGGGUUGUGAACCUCUUUCGCGAGUGAAGCAGGCCUGCCUCGUUUGUGGGUGGGUUGACGGUAGCUGGAUAAGAAGCGCCGGCUAACUACGUG